rnacentral:rRNA from 1 species
GAGGUAGUGACAAUAAAUCACAAUGCGGAACUUUUAGUUUUGCAAUUGGAUUGAGAACAAUGUACAAAUGUUAUCGAUAAACAAUUGGAGGGCAAGUCUGGUGCCAGCAGCCGCGGUAAUUCCAGCUCCAAUAGCGUAUAUUAACGUUGUUGCAGUUAAAAAGCUCGUAGUUGAAAUGUGGGAUGAAGUAUAUAAUGAAUUUCUAAUUCAAUUGUAUAUUGAUUCCCCUCUCCAAUUUAUUAUUAUGGGUAUUAAUUUAUUUGUAAUAAGAACUGGUCAUCUACUGUGAGAAAAUUAGAGUGUUCAAAGCAGGCAUUUGCUUGAAUAGAUUAGCAUGGAAUAAUACUAAAAGGCUUUUAUGGUCGAUUUAAUUGGUUUGUUCAUAAAAGCAAGAUUAAAAGGAACAGUUGGGGGUAUUCAUAUUCAAUAGUUAGAGGUGAAAUUCUCGGAUUUAUGGAAGAUGAACAAGUGCGAAAGCA